rnacentral:rRNA from 1 species
CCUACGGGGGGCAGCAGUGAGGAAUAUUGGUCAAUGGCCGGGAGGCUGAACCAGCCAAGUCGCGUGAGGGAAGACGGCCCUACGGGUUGUAAACCUCUUUUGUCAGGGAGCAAGGUGCAGGUCGGGACCUGCUGUGAGAGUACCUGAAGAAAAAGCAUCGGCUAACUCCGUGCCAGCAGCCGCGGUAAUACGGAGGAUGCGAGCGUUAUCCGGAUUUAUUGGGAUUAAGGGGUGCGUAGGCGGUUCGAUAAGGUAGAGGGGAAAUCGCGGGGUCAAACUCCGGCACUGCCUCUGAUACUGUCGGGCUAGAGGUUAGUGGCGGUAGGCGGAAUGUAUGGUGUAGCGGUGAAAUGCAUAGAGAUCAUACAGAACACCGAUUGCGAAGGCAGCUUACCAAACUACGACUGACGUUGAGGCACGAAAGCGUGGGGAGCAAACAGGAUUAGAUACCCCGGUAGUC